AGUGGGGCUGUUGAUUUCACUUAGGAAACGAGAAGAAAAGCUUCGCAUGUCAACACAGUUGUAAACAUUAAUUGUCAGUAAACGUUCAGCGCGGUCUCUGUGUGAAAUCAUCGCUCCGUUCAGAUGUUUUCGCUGGAUUUUAUUGUAUUGAAUCAAAGCCGACUCCCGUAAAGAGACGGCGUGUUUAUUCCUGACUGAGAGGACUGAAGAGCGGGAAACGAUAAGCUAAGCUGGUUAGGUUAGCUAGGUUAGCAAAUAAGCGGCGUUCCAGUAGCAGCAGCCACAUUGUGCAUCAUCGGCUGAUUUAUUUAAUAUAUUUCUCUAUGAAAAAUCCGAACUGAACUGGUGACUCGGCUUUAUCUUGUAGUCACAGCUUAUAAAAGGGAGUGUAACCAUGCAUUUUAGCUGACAAUCAGUGUCUUACUUAAAAAAAGUUCUAGGCUUUGUAUUCCCUAUUUUUUGUAAUUUAGUGCAACGAUGACAACUCUUACAAGACAGGACCUUAAUUUUGGUCAAGUGGUGGCUGAUAUUCUCUGUGAGUUUCUGGAAGUAGCCAUCCACCUGAUCCUCUACGUUAGAGAGGUUUAUCCAUCUGGGAUCUUUCAAAAGAGGAAAAAAUACAAUGUUCCUGUGCAGAUGUCAUGUCACCCCGAGCUGAACCAGUAUAUCCAGGACACACUCCAAUGUGUUAAACCCCUUAUUGAGAAGAAUGAGGCAGAGAAAGUUGUAGUGGUAAUCAUGGAUAAAGAGCAUCACCCGGUGGAGAGAUUUGUGUUUGAGAUCUCGCAGCCUCCUCUCCUUUCAAUCAGCUCUGAGACUCUGCUUUCUCACGUAGAGCAACUGCUGCGAGCUGUAAUCCUGAAGAUCAGCGUGUGUGAUGCUGUUCUGGAUAACAACCCACCAGGGUGCACGUUUACUGUGUUAGUUUACACCAGAGAAUCUGCCACUAGAAACAUGGAGAAAGUUCAGGUGAUCAAGGACUUUCCCUGGAUUGUAGCAGAUGAGCAGGAGGUCCUCAUGCAAGAGCCCAGACUCAUCCCUCUGAAAACAAUGACCUCAGACAUUGUAAAGAUGCAGCUAUACGUUGAGGAACGUGCACAUAAAGGACCCCAAAACACAGCGUGAAAGGACUGUGCCUGCUGAAAACAUAUUUAGGCAGAUAAGCUUUGUCAAUACUUUUUUGGUCAUUUAUUCUGUAAAAAAGAAAUAAAUAUAAUCUUAAGCAAAAUACAUUUUAGUCAUUUUUUUAAAAUAAGCAACGGAAGAGCAAAAGGUACAUCUGGAGCGUUAUUUGUUAGAUCAUUUUGAAAAAACACUUCCUCUUUGUUGUCACAUUUUCCGUUUCCUUCAGAGUAAAGACGUUGUGCGACUGACUACAGGUGUUCAUACUUUGGAAUUACCACUAUGGUGGAGAAGAUUUGAUGACUUUCUGGUGAUUUCCUGAAUGGUUCAUGAUGAUGGACUGGGCAGGUCUUUAUGAGUAGAUGUGUCACUUAAGAAGCUGUUCUAUUCUAUGAGUGGUAACUGCCAUGCGAUUAUAUGAUCUCAUUGCAUGGUUAGUAUUAUUAAAACCCAUUGCCCUGAUGCUAUGCAGAGCAUGUCGUACUGCUGAGUAUAAUGUUAAUGGAGAGUGCUGCCCAAUGUGUUCUGCAGGGCAACGUGUAUAUAAACACUGCUUAGGAGAUUCCAGCACAACGUGUUUGCCUUGCAUACAGUCAACCUACACGGAGGCUCCAAAUGGACUGAUAAAGUGUCACUCCUGCUCUGUAUGUGAUGAAGGUAUUGGGUUAAGAAUAAAGCAAGAAUGUCGUUCAACUGCAGACACAGUGUGUGAGCCUCUGUCAGGAUAUUAUUGUGAAGAAACACACGGCAAGACAUGCAGAAAAGCCAGACAGCACUCCACCUGCCUUCCUGGACAAUAUAUCAACCAAACUGGUACAGCUUUUACAGAUACUGUAUGUAAAGACUGCUCAGAAGGUUCAUAUUCAGAUGGCUCUUUCACAUUCUGCAAACCACAUAGAAAGUGUGAAUCUAUGGGGCAUAUAACAACCACACCGGGAACAAAGUCAGCAGAUUCUGAAUGUACAGAUAAACGUUCUCAUUUUCUCUACUUAGUCGCUUCUUUACCUGUGUUGGUAAUAUUAGGGUUGACGUUAUGCAUAUUGUAUUUAAGAAGAAAAAGAAGGAUGGAAAUUGAAAAUUAAGCUCAUUCUCUAUCAACUCCUGCACAGAAUGAUGCACGCAGACCAUAACAUAGUUCUAAAUAGAACCAUUUCAUGCUUAAAUACUUAAAUUCUACAUAGCACCAAAAACGUUCUUCUUUUGAUACAAGACCAAGCAUACAUGCAUAUAUACAACACAAUUUCCAUUAAUCUGAAGAACAAUUUAACUAUAUAUGUAUAUAUACAGAACCAUGUGUAGAGCUUUAGAAAUGGUCAAAUUAAAACUGUG